rnacentral:rRNA from 1 species
CCUACGGGUGGCAGCAGUGAGGAAUAUUGGUCAAUGGACGGAAGUCUGAACCAGCCAUGCCGCGUGCAGGAAGACGGCUCUAUGAGUUGUAAACUGCUUUUGUACAAGGGUAAAACGGAAUACGUGUAUGCAGCUGAAAGUACCGUACGAAUAAGGAUCGGCUAACUCCGUGCCAGCAGCCGCGGUAAUACGGAGGAUCCAAGCGUUAUCCGGAUUUAUUGGGUUUAAAGGGUGCGUAGGCGGCUUGUUAAGUUAGUGGUGAAAUGUCCGGGCUUAACGCGGGAACUGCCUCUCAUCCUGUUGAUCUUGAGUGUAGCUGCGGUAGGCGGAAUGUCUGGUGUAGCGG